rnacentral:tRNA from 1 species
AUUUAAAUAGUUUAAUAAAAUAAAACAUUAUAUUUUCAUUAUAAAAAUAUUUGAAUUAAUUUUAAAUA